rnacentral:lncRNA from 1 species
UUUUCUUUUUUUUUUUUCUGAAAAGGAAUUCUGGUUUAAGAAUCUCACUUAUGACACAAAAAAAGCUGAGAUCCGGCCAUAUGGGAAAAGAGUAAAAUGUGUCCAUAUUUAGCAGAGCUCUGACCUUAGGGUUUAUGUUUCCCUUUAUCAGCCGAUUUGGGGAGAAGAGCUGAAUGUAUAUUUGUGUAAUAAUUUACAGUUUUUAUAUGACAUGCACAGAGAAAUAAACUUGCAUGAAGAAGAAGAAGUAGAAGAAGAAGAAGAAGAAGAGGGUUUUCAUAAUAAAUAAAAGAAUAAUUGUGGGAAUUUCCAUGAAAAUAGAAGAGGGGUUCGGAGGGUUUUCAUAAAAUAAUUAUAUAUAAAAAAUAAAAAUAAUUGCGGGAAUUUCCAUGAAACUUUGAACAGUAAGAUAAGAAUUAGAAGGCGUAC